AUUGAACGCUGGCGGCAGGCCUAACACAUGCAAGUCGAACGAGUGGCGGACGGGUGAGUAAUGUCUGGGAAACUGCCUGAUGGAGGGGGAUAACUACUGGAAACGGUAGCUAAUAACGCAUACCAUCGGAUGUGCCCAGAUGGGAUUGGCGAUGAGGUGGGGUAACGGCUCACCUAGGCGACGAUCCCUAGCUGUGCUAGGAGGAUGACAAGCCACACUGGAAAUGAGACACGGUCCAGCCUCCUACGGGAGGCAGCAGUGGGGAAUAUUGCACAAUGGGCGCAAGCCUGAUACGGCCAUCCCGCGUGUAUGAAGAAGGCCUUCGGUUUGUAAAGUACUUUCAGCGGGGAGGCGUUACCCGCAGAAGAAGCACCGGCUAACUCCGUGCCAGCAGCCGCGGUAAUAC
rnacentral:rRNA from 1 species